CGAGAAAUCGCAACGAAGACAAAAUUAUGUUAUUUUUUAAUUGUUUUGACGAUGCAAAAGCUUACAUAAAAAGAAAUGAAAUUGAUACGAAUAACCGUUACAUGAUGGGUUACAGCACAAAAAACUUUGGUAAUUCAGUUGUUACUUCAUCCUCCCAUAAGGUUUGUUGGGUCCAUGGGGUGAACCCUUACAUGUAUGUGAGCCUAGGACAUCAGGUUCUGAAAUGCCAACAUGGUACAGACAAGAACAAGAAGAAAAAACUGGAAAAGGAGAAGACAAUGACAGUUAGCAGUGAGCAACACUCAUAUGCUAAAAAGAAAACAAGGCAUGCAGUGCAGCC